CGACAUGUCCAUUAAUUUAUAAUCGAAUUUCGAUCAAAACUCACAAAAACAUAAAACCAACAUUCAGUGUGCAGCCUUAGUUCCAUUUAUCAUUGCAUCGCAUCGAUACUGGACGAAAAUGGAAACUAAUUGAAUAGGAAAAAACAAUGAGUGUUUUUCAGUGGCAUUUCAACAAGCCCAUCCUUGCAGUCCUCUGACAUUUCAUCAGCGUUUCAUUUGACCUUUGCCACUGUAAUUGGAUUGUCAAUCAGGGAUACAUAUAUUUGCAGCUUAAAGGUCUAACAUCAAACACAAUUCUAACCCAUUCUUUAUCAUCUACUCUCCCAUGUAUUCUCUUACUCUCAUUCCCUCCAAAUCAAUUCCAGCGAUAGCCCUUUCAGCGUUGAACCUACCCAAGCAUAAUUCAUUGUCCACUCCCAUGACCUUCGGAUUCCUUUAGCGGACUGCCCUUUAGCGCAUUCCAUGCAACAUGCCCCAAAGGAACUAUAAAUAUGCAGAGGUCAAUCGAUAAUGCCCCAAAGGCAAGCACUGAAAUUAAUAUUUAAAAUAAUUUCCACCUUUAAAUUGCUGGUUUGUCG
rnacentral:lncRNA from 1 species